UUAGCCUCCUCAAAUAACCUUAUCACUUUAAACUCCUCAUUGUACCAUCUCCCUAUCAUUCACAUCUCUAUCUAUAUUUGGAUUUGGAUCUUUUGCUAUGAUUUCUUCUGCUGUGAUCUGCUUGACUUUCGUCCUCCACAUGCCACUUCAUUAAAAUUUACUCUAAGUGAUUUAAACUGGACACAUCGUCCUUUAAAUAAAAACCCAAUUUAGUUCUAAUUAAAAAUGAAAAAAAAAAAAAAAAAAACCCGAACUUAAUGUCUAUAUGUGUUAUUUUCCUCCUUCUUCCUUUCUUUGCACGUCUCCUUAAGAGCUCUCUAUAAAAUUUAAACUUCAAUCAUACUCCCUAGUUUAUGGAGUCAUAAAUACUAUAAUUAUUUUUUUAAUUUAAUAUAAUUGGUCCUAGAAGUCUCCCUAUUUUAGAAGGCUGCAUAGUUGGAGUUGUAUUUUUCCAAUUUCUCCCUAAGAUUUGUCUAUGAAUGUAAUUUAGGGAGCCCAUUGCGGAUGCUCU
rnacentral:lncRNA from 1 species